UCCAGAGGAAGGCUCGUCCGCUCUGGGUUAGUCGGGUCCUAAGCUGAGGCCGACAGGCGUAGGCGAUGGAUAACAGGUUGAUAUUCCUGUACCACCAUUAUUCGUUUUAAGCGAUGGGGGGACGCAGUAGGAUAGGCGAAGCGUGCUGUUGGAGUGCACGUCCAAGCAGUGAGAUUGAGUGUUAGGCAAAUCCGGCACUCUUAAGAUUGAGCUGUGAUGGGGAGAGGAACUUGUUCCUCGAGUCGUUGAUUUCACACUGCCGAGAAAAGCCUCUAGCUAGAAUAACGGUGCCCGUACCGCAAACCGACACAGGUAGUCAAGAUGAGAAUUCUAAGGUGAGCGAGCGAACUCUCGUUAAGGAACUCGGCAAAAUGACCCCGUAACUUCGGGAGAAGGGGUGCUCUUUGAGGUUCACGCUUCGAAGAGCCGCAGUGAAUAGGCCCAAGCGACUGUUUAUCAAAAACACAGGUCUCUGCUAAACCGUAAGGUGACGUAUAGGGGCUGACGCCUGCCCGGUGCUGGAAGGUUAAGAGGAGUGGUUAGCGCAAGCGAAGCUACGAAUCGAAGCCCCAGUAAACGGCGGCCGUAACUAUAACGGUCCUAAGGUAGCGAAAUUCCUUGUCGGGUAAGUUCCGACCCGCACGAAAGGCGUAACGAUUUGGGCACUGUCUCAACGAGAGACUCGGUGAAAUCAUAGUACCGGUGAAGAUGCCGGUUACCCGCGACAGGACGGAAAGACCCCGUGGAGCUUUACUGUAGCCUGAUAUUGAAAUUCGGUACAGUUUGUACA
rnacentral:rRNA from 1 species